CGGCUCCUGCUCUCCUGUCGCGCUUGCCGGGCGGUCGUCGCGCAGGAGCGCCGCUCGAGUGUACUACUCCAGAAAGUUAAUCACUACUAUCUGGACACGGAGACGAAAGAAGAAAUACGGUUGCUGGCGAUGCAGCUGGCUUUCCAGCCAGCCGCCUUCUCGGCUGCUGGGUUUUUCUCGGUGGAUUACCCUCUCCUCUACUCG